AAGCCUGAUGCAGCCAUGCCGCGUGUUAUGAAGAAGGCCUUUGGGUUGUAAAAGUACUUUCAGCAGUGAGGAAGGUGGGUAUGUUAAUAGCAUACUCAUUUGACGUUAGCUGCAGAAGAAGCACCGGCUAACUCCGUGCCAGCAGCCGCGGUAAUACGGAGGGUGCGAGCGUUUAAUCGGAAUUACUGGGCGUAAAAGCGCAUGCAGGUGGUUUGUUAAGUCAGAUGUGAAAGCCCGGGGCUCAACCUCGGAAUUGCAUUUGAAACUGGCAAACUAGAGUACUGUAGAGGGGGUAGAAUUUCAGGUGUAGCGGUGAAAUGCGUAGAGAUCUGAAGGAAUACCGGUGGCGAAGGCGGCCCCCUGGACAGAUACUGACACUCAGAUGCGAAAGCGUGGGGAGCAAACAGGAUUAGAUACCCUGGUAG
rnacentral:rRNA from 1 species